GUUAGAGUCCCUAAGUUGCUUGAAAUUGUGCCACAAAUGGUAGAAUUCAAUUGGAGUCUCUAAGUUGAUGUUUUGAAGGUUUUUGGGUUGAUAUCUUGUAGUCACUUGUUUAGAAUGAGUUUAGACACACUUGGUUUAGUAUAAUUAAGUAUAUAACACACUCUAGGAGGAUUAGAAGUUGGGGAAAAUAUUUACAUUUGGUAAAUUUGGUGAAGGUUGCAUAAUUAUGUAGUUUGGUGCUGCAGAAUUAUGCAGACUCCCUAGGCGAGUAGAGUCACUCAACAAGUGGCUGUAAGGUCUAACACACUGUAUAUGCAUUCUCCUAGUGAGUCGGGUCGAUGGGCGAGUGGUUGAAGGGUUUGGGCCAUAGUUUCAGGAUUCGCCUAGCGAGUUAGGUUGCUGAGCGAGUAAGUUGGGGGUCUGGACCACUGUCUCAAGUCUCUCUUAGGGAGCUGGGUCGCUAAGCGAGAGGUUGAGGUCUGGGGAACACUGUUUGUGUAUUCGCACAACAAGUUGGGUCACUGAGCGAAAGGAUUAUGUGGUCGCCCAACGAGUGUGGUCGCUGAGCGAUUGAUCUAGGAGCUCAGUCUUGAGGGUUAUCCUUGAACUCCAAUAGUCUGUCAUUCUCAAAGUCGUGAGGAGUAGCAGGAGGUCUUAGUAUUGGGGGCUUCCAACAUGGUUCAAGGCGUGGAACAGACUAACCUUGUGAGUGUGGUAUGGUGAAACCCAUUGGUAAUGACUUUGCAAAGUAGUAGAAGCCACCGCAAGUGCACAACCUGCCAUAGCUCGACAAUCAUUCUAAGUUCGGACGGUCAAAUCAUUGUAGUGUCAUGCAUAAAGUAUCCUAUGUUGGUGAAUGACUAUGUAUGAUUGUAUGUAAUGUAGUUGAUGAGUAUAAUGAUUGUUCUUUUACUUUAAACUAGCUUACCUUGUUGCUUGUGCUUGUGUUUUGUAUGUGUAGUGUUCUUUUUUUGUGAUGAUCAUCUUGUGGG
rnacentral:sRNA from 1 species